CGUUGAUUACGUCCCUGCCCUUUGUACACACCGCCCGUCGCUACUACCGAUUGAAUGGCUCAGUGAGGCUUCCGGACUGGCCCAGGGAGGUCGGCAACGACCACCCAGGGCCGGAAAGCUAUCCAAACUCGGUCAUUUAGAGGAAGUAAAAGUCGUAACAAGG
rnacentral:rRNA from 1 species